rnacentral:rRNA from 1 species
UACAUGGGGUGCAAACGUUGCUCGGAAUUAUUGGGCGUAAAGCGCGCGUAGGCGGUUACUCAAGUCGGAUGUGAAAGCCCUCGGCUUAACUGAGGAAGUGCACCCGAAACUGAGUAGCUAGAGUACUAAAGAGGGUCGCGGAAUUCCCGGUGUAGAGGUGAAAAUUCGUAGAUAUCGGGAGGAACACCGGUGGCGAAGGCGGCGACCUGGGUAGAUACUGACGCUGAGG